UUCGGCCUCGCUGCAUUUCCUAUGCAGCCCCCUGCAAGCCGUCGCCGACGGAUUCCUACGCGAAUACCUUCGAAACACGCUGGCGAUCCAAUCGCCUUUUAGCGGCGCGGU
rfam:Pseudomonadales bacterium RIFCSPLOWO2_02_FTLL_63_210 rifcsplowo2_02_scaffold_488619, whole genome shotgun sequence.